AUUGCAAUAUAUAUAAAAUAAAAAUAAAACAAAGCUUUCCUAGCGAACAAGCAAGAACUUUGAAAUUGAAAUUCGGGAAUAGAAGAGUGGUGUCUGAGUCUGAGUUGAGUCGUGUGAUUUGGAGGUAAGAAUGGAUGUGAUAAAAACGCAACAAAUAUCGGCGAGACCAAUCGAGAAAGUGGUAGUGCACCCGCUAGUUCUACUCAGCAUCGUCGAUAACUACAAUAGAGUAGCUAAGGAUACCCGCAAACGUGUCGUUGGGGUCUUGCUUGGCUCCAGUUUUAAGGGCACCGUUGAUGCCACUAACAGCUAUGCAGUGCCAUUUGAAGAAGAUGACAAGGACCCAAGAAUCUGGUUUCUUGACCACAAUUACCACGAGUCAAUGUUUUCCAUGUUCAAAAGAAUAAAUGCCAAGGAGCAUGUUGUGGGGUGGUACAGCACUGGGCCAAAACUGAGGGAAAAUGACCUGGAGAUUCACGGAUUAUUUAACGAUUAUGUUCCAAACCCUGUCUUGGUCAUAAUUGAUGUCCAACCGGAAGAGCUGGGAAUACCCACAAAAGCAUACUAUGCUGUUGAAGAGGUAAAAGAGAAUGCUACCCAGAAGAGCCAGAAGGUGUUUGUGCAUGUGCAAUCAGAAAUUGCUGCCCAUGAAGUUGAGGAAAUUGGUGUAGAACACUUAUUGAGGGAUGUGAAGGACACAACAAUUAGUACUCUUGCAACAGAGGUUACUGGGAAACUCGCAGCUCUGAAAGGGUUGGAUGCUCGGCUAAAAGAGAUACGUGGUUAUCUUGACCUUGUCAUUGAAGAAAAGCUCCCAUUAAACCAUGAAAUUCUGUACCAUCUACAGGACGUGUUCAACCUGCUUCCGAACCUGAACGUGGCAGACUUGAUCAAGGCUUUUGCAGUGAAAACAAAUGAUAUGAUGUUGGUUAUCUAUCUUUCUUCCCUCAUCCGAAGUGUAAUUGCUCUCCACAACUUGAUCAACAACAAGAUGGGAGCCAAAUAUUGCUGUCUGGACUUGUAAUUUAUGAUAACACAGAUGAUGUUUUUGUGGAAAUGAUGCUUGUCAAGAUGUUCCCACAUCAGUGCUAGCAGAUCCAGAUAGUAUUCCUGGGAGCUGUACAAUUGAUCAAUGAAGACAUCUUAAAUUUGUUCUUAAUGACUUGGACAUCCUGGAGAGUCUUAUUUAGUAUCCUAAAAUCAUGCAUUUCUCACCUCUUCCACUCCUUCAACUUAAAUCUCAUUUUGAACCUGUGAAACUUUUGAAGUUAAUGUGUGGGGCAUGAAUCCCUUCACUGUCUCAAGGUAUCUGUUCUCAGUUUUGGAAAUGCUUCCUUUCGAACAGAAACACCAUAAUCAUUAUUUCCAAUUGAUUCCAACAUUGAUUCUCUUUUCAUUUAAGAUGCUCAACAAAGAACAUGAGAAAGCAGAAGACUCGAAGCCCGUUGCUUUACCUCCUGUUGCUGGAAGCUAGACAUGGGAAUUUCAUCGGCCUGGGUAGUUAUCAGUUACCUGGAGAUAAAUUGCAGUUACUGAAUAUCGCUCUGAUUCUCUCGGCCUUGGAUAAUCUUGUGUUUUCUGGUGCUAGAGGGUGGAGUUGAUAGGGGUUAUACCGGAAGAAAUUGCUCAAAGUCGUGUUUCUUGUGAUUGAAAUACAAUAUAAAAAUUCAUUUUGAUGUCCUCAAACAGUAUCUGCAAGAUCCUAACUUGAUGAUGAACCGAUCAUUCUUUGGCAUUGGAUUCUUUAGCCAUGGUCCUAGGUGAUCUUGUACUCUGAUUUACGUUGCAAGAGAGGUUGGCAUUAUGCCAUCCAAAUGCCAACUUUAAAAUUCAUAACA